rnacentral:misc_RNA from 1 species
UACGGAGGAUCCAAGCGUUAUCCGGAAUCAUUGGGUUUAAAGGGUCCGUAGGCGGGACAAUCAGUCAGCGGUGAAAGUCUGUGGCUCAACCAUAGAAUUGCCAUUGAUACUGUUGUCCUUGAGUGUUUAUGAAGUGGUUGGAAUAUGUAGUGUAGCGGUGAAAUGCAUAGAUAUUACAUAGAACACCGAUUGCGAAGGCAGAUCACUAAUAAAAUACUGACGCUGAUGGACGAAAGCGUAGGUAGCGAACAGG